rnacentral:rRNA from 1 species
CAGAAAGUUACAAGCAACAGUGUGGAUGCCUUGGCGACAUCUGGCGAAGAAGGACGCGACAAGCUGCGAUAAGCCCCGGGGAGCCGCAAAUAGGCCGAUCCGGGGAUUUCCGAAUGGGGAAACCCUGUCAGCAAUGACAAUCCUGUCCUGAAUUCAAUAGGGGCAGAGAAGCAAACCUGGAGAAGUGAAACAUCUCAGUAUCCAGAGGAAAAGAAAGCGAAUGCGAUUCCCUCAGUAGUGGCGAACGAAAGGGGAACAGCCCAAACCAAGAGGACUUGUCCUCCUGGGGUACGGGCCUCAAUGUGAGACUGAAGAGGUUAGGCGAAGCGUUUGAAUGACGCGUCAUAGAGGGUGAGAACCCCGUAGCCAAAAACCCGAUCAGCUCUAGAGGUACCCAGAGUAGCACCGGACACGUGAAACCCGGUGUGAAAAAAACGCAGACCACUGCGUAAGGCUAAAUACACGAUGUCGACCGAUAGUGAAGAGUACCGCGAGGGAAAGGUGAAAAGCACCCCUGUUAGGGGAGUGAAAAGUACCUGAAACCUGUUGCUUACAAGCGGUCGGAGCCCCCUCGUGGGGUGACGGCGUACCUUUUGCAUAAUGGGUCUGGGAGUUAACGUAAGGAGCCAGCCUAAGGUCCCUCAGGACCGGAGGCGCAGCGAAAGCGAGUCUGAAUAGGGCGUUUAGUUCCUUGCGUUAUACCCGAAGCGGAGGUGAUCUACCCAUGACCAGGUUGAAGCCCAAGUAACAUUGGGUGGAGGACCGAACUGAUGGCACUUGAGAAUGCCCCGGAUGAGUUGUGGGUAGGAGUGAAAGGCUAAUCAAACCCCGUAAUAGCUGGUUCUCUCCGAAAUAUAUUUAGGUAUAGCGUCCAGCGCUGACCCGUGGGGGUAGAGCACUGAAAAGGCUAGGGGACACACCCGUCUACCAACCCUUAUCAAACUCCGAAUACCACGGGGCGAAGCUGGGCAGUCAGGCAGUGGGGGAUAAGCUUCAUUGCCGAGAGGAAAACAGUCCAGACCACCAAUUAAGGCCCCAAAGACGUAGCUAAGUGGAUUAAAGAAUGUGAACUUGCACAGACAAUAGGGAUGUUGGCUUAGAGGCAGCCACCAUUUAAACAGUGCGUAACAGCUGACCUAUCGAGUGAGUUUGCGUCUAAGAUGAUCGGGACUAAGCGACGCGCCGAAGUUGUGGGCUCGUCAGGGAGCGAUCCCUGGCGAGCGGUAGGAGAGCGUUCCAGCAGCGGUGAAGCGGAAGCGGUAAGCGACCGUGGAGCGGCUGGAAGUGAGUAUCCAGACAUAAGUAACGAUAAGAAUGGUUGAAAUCCAUUCCGCCGUAAGGAUAAGGUUUCCAGGGCAAGGGUCGUCCCCCCUGGGUUAGUCGGGAGCUAAGCCGAGGCCGUAAGGAGUAGGCGAUGCACAUCAGGUUAAUAUUCCUGAACCAAGUAGAGAGGACGGGAUCAUGGAGUCAGCAGACCUUAUUGACUUGGCAGUCCGAGGCUACGGCCGAGGACGCGCUGAUGAAGUGAUCUCCAGGAAAAGCCUCUACAUUAGCCCGUACCGCAAACCGACACAGGUAUCCGGGAUGAGUAUUCUAAGGCGCGUGAGUUAAACCUCCUCAAGGAACUCGACAAAUUAACCCCGUAUCUUCGGUAUAAGGGGUGCUCCGGGCAACCGGAGUCGCAGUGAAGAGGCCCUACCGACUGUUUAGCAAAAACACAGCUCUCUGCUAAGUCGCAAGACGACGUAUAGGGAGUGACGUGUGACCAAUGCGGAAAGGUGAAAGCUGGAGCUGCAAGGUUCCGGUCUAAGCCCCCGUGAAUGUCGGCCGUAACUAUAACGGUCCUAAGGUAGCGAAAUUCCUUGUCGGGUAAGUUCCGACCUGCACGAAUCA